rnacentral:rRNA from 1 species
UGUAAAAUUUCAAAGGUCGAACAGACCUAAAAUUCCAGCUUCUACACCAAAAUUUAAUUUUAAUCCAACAUCGAGGUCGCAAACUUUUUUAUCGAUAAGAACUCUCCAAAAAAAAUUACGCUGUUAUCCCUAAGGUAAUUUAAUCUUAUAAUCCAAAUAAUAGGAUCAAAUAUUCAUAAAUAAAUGUUACAAACAAAAAAAAGUUUAUUAAAUUUUUCCAUCGCCCCAACGAAAUAUCUAAUUAAAAAUAAAAGAAUAAAUUCAAUAACCAAUAAAUCCAAUUAAAUAUAAAACUCUAUAGGGUCUUCUCGUCUUUAUAAAAAAUUUAAGCUUUUUCACUUAAAAAUGAAGUUCUAAUUCAUUUAUACAGAGACAGUUAUUUUCUCAUCAAACUUUUCAUUCCAGCUUUCAAUUAAAAAACUAAUGAUUAUGCUACCUUUGCACAGUCAAAAUACUGCGGCCAUUUAAAAAAUCAUUGGGCAGGCCAGACUUUAAAUCAAAAUCAAAAAGAC